rnacentral:rRNA from 1 species
UACAGAGGGUGCGAGCGUUAAUCGGAAUUACUGGGCGUAAAGCGUGCGCAGGCGGUUGUGCAAGACCGAUGUGAAAUCCCCGGGCUUAACCCGUGGGAAUGGCAUUGGUGACUGCACGGCUAGAGUGUGUCAGAGGGGGGUAGAAUUCCACGUGUAGCGGUGAAAUGCGUAGAUAUGUGGAGGAAUACCGAUGGCGAAGGCAGCCUCCUGGGCCAACACUGACGCUCAUGCACGAAAGCGUGGGGAGCAAACAGG